rnacentral:rRNA from 1 species
GAUGAACGCUGGCGGCGUGCCUAAUACAUGCAAGUCGAGCGAAUGGAUUAAGAGCUUGCUCUUAUGAAGUUAGCGGCGGACGGGUGAGUAACACGUGGGUAACCUGCCCAUAAGACUGGGAUAACUCCGGGAAACCGGGGCUAAUACCGGAUAACAUUUUGGACCGCAUGGUUCGAAAUUGAAAGGCGGCAUCGGCUGUCCCUUAUGGAUGGACGCGCGUCGCAUUAGCUAGUUGGUGAGGUAACGGCUCACCAAGGCAACGAUGCGUAGCCGACCUGAGAGGGUGAUCGGCCACACUGGGACUGAGACACGGCCCAGACUCCUACGGGAGGCAGCAGUAGGGAAUCUUCCGCAAUGGACGAAAGUCUGACGGAGCAACGCCGCGUGGGUGAUGAAGGCUUUCGGGUCGUAAAACUCUGUUGUUAGGGAAGAACAAGUGCUAGUUGAAUAAGCUGGCACCUUGACGGUACCUAACCAGAAAGCCACGGCUAACUACGUGCCAGCCGCCGCAGUAA